rnacentral:rRNA from 1 species
AGAGCGAACGCUGGCGGCAGGCUUAACACAUGCAAGUCGAGCGGAUGUAGCAAUACAUCAGCGGCAGACGGGAUAGUAACACGUGGGAACGCGCCCUUUGGUUCGGAAUAACUCAGGGAAACUUGAGCUAAUACCGGAUAAGCCCUUACGGGGAAAGAUUUAUCGCCAAAGGAACGGCCCGCGUCCGAUUAGCUAGUUGGUGAGGUAAUGGCUCACCAAGGCGACGAUCGGUAGCUGGUCUGAGAGGAUGACCAGCAUCACUGGGACUGAGACACGGCCCAGACUCCUACGGGAGGCAGCAGUGGGGAAUAUUGGACAAUGGGCGCAAGCCUGAUCCAGCCAUGCCGCGUGGAUGAUGAAGGCCCUAGGGUUGUAAAGUCCGUUUAACGGGAAGAUAAUGACGGUACCGUAGAAUAAGCCCGGCUAACUUCGCGCCAGCAGCCGC